ACAUAAUUAGUGUUAAAACAUUUAUAACUAUUAUAGUUUCUUCAAAUUAUUUUUAAAAGUAAGUAACAUCUAUGUUGUCGGAGAUAGAGCUGGUCAGAACAUUUUUAGACCAAAUGAAAUCUUGUCAAAAUAUGCUUUUUGCUGAAGCCGAAAUAUUUUGCAAAUAUAUAUCACUUUUUCAAAAGAGAUAUAUAUUUGCAUUUUGGAGAGAGAGCUCAAGCUUUCGCUCUAUAGACUGAUGGUUGUGGGAGAUUGGGAAUCAGAGUUCUUACUCUGCUUGCUUCAGAGUGAUCUGAAACUGCUUUGAAUCAUCCAGAGCAGGGUCUUGAAUCUGGGUCUCCUACACCGCUGGUUAGUGCCCUAACUGCCAUAUUAUAGCAGCUAAAAGGUAUGAUUCCCUGUUUGCUUGUACAUACAUGCAUUUUCUUUGCUAACCUUCUGACUAUGUACAUAGGGAGUCUGGUGGGUGUAGUUAGAUGGCUGGCCUGAGCCGUCUUCCAUGCUGCCACAGCCACACUGCAAUUUUAUCCUGCUAUCUUGAGCAGAGCUAGCAUGUGCCCCUGAAUUGGAACCGUAGCUUCUAGCUGCUGUGUAGACAUACCCUUAACAGACACCAACCUAACCCUAUCUUCCCAAGUCAAAAGGCUCAGGUUUUGAUCAGAAAAUGGACAUUUUGACACCAUUUUCACGAAAAUGUUGAAAAGAUUUUCAUUCCAAUGCAAUUUCAAAAGUUUUCUAAAACAGAAUCAUCAUCCUUGAGCUACCUGAAGAUGGAAGCGUCUGCAUAACACAAAGGUGGGUUGGGUUGUUGACGCUGUUUAAAACUGUUUCCUGAGAGUGAAAUGACAGACAAACUCUGAAAGAUUAGUCAGACAAUAAAUUUGACUUCAUGUACUUUUUACUAGACAAUUUUUCCUUAAAUCACAAAAAUGCCUUUAAUUAUGUGUAUAAACCCCUUUGCGCACAAAAUGUACUUUGUUGGCUAAAGUAAGAAUUAAUGCACGAGUAGAUUUUAAUAAAACUAAAGAGCACAAGUAUUUAGUAAAAUCUAAUGUACGUUCCUUAACUUGCUCUUUUUACUGUGUUUUCAAAGAGCUUUUCAACUUUGCAUGAUGAAUAUAAAUUUACUUUGUAAGAUACUCAUUGUGAUUCAAGUUGUCAAUUGUCUGUACUUGAAAAUAUGUUUUGUACUUUUGUAGGACUUAAUGCGUUGGCAUUCAUAUUGAGUAAGUGCUCAUUGACUUAAGUUCUCAUGUAUGUUUAAUAUUUUUAAAAGUAUAGUAUAUAUCAAAUGAAACUUUAAGAAGUCAGUGAUGUGUCAAUAUGAUAUGCAACUCUAUACAUGAGAUGUUGUUGACUGUUUUAGUAAGAUAGCUGAUUACAUAUUGGCGGGAGGGAGAAUUGAACUAAAUUUUCAUUCUUAAAUUAAAGGAAGAAAAUAAAGACAAUAUAAAAUACUGGAGUUCCUCUUCCUUGACCUGUUCUCAUUUGAUCUUAAUUUCUAUUAUAUUCAAAUAGAAAGAAAUGCAGAGACUUGUUUCAUGUUAAUUACAGUUUAGACCUGCUCACUGAACAUUUCAAAGCUGGGCUCUACAGAAAUGUAGUUAUCUUUUUAAUUAAUGUGUUUAAAAGUCUUUGGUACAUUUUUGACACAAGCUUUCAUGUUAAAUUAAUAAAACUCAGACAGGCCCUGAAGGAGUGGAUAAGAAAUCAGUAAAGCUUUCAGAUGUAUAUUAGUGAAAUAAAUCAAAUAAGGGCAAUGACAUCAGUUUUUGAUGUUAAGGAUCAAGAAACAGUAAAGCUCCGUGAACAGCUUGGCUAAGUUGACUGAAUUGGAGAAUGAGGUCUUGGUCUUUUCGCUUCAGAAAAGAGAUUCUGCUAACAGGCACAUUCUGAUUUGGACUGCCUGUUCAGAAAGCUACAAACAGGGACUUUUCCCCCCAGCCUGUGGAUUACCACUGGCAAUGUUAGAAUGCCGAAAGUGAUCCUGCGGGGUUCAGCCUACCCCUCACUCUUCUGGCUCAUUAAGCUGUACACCGGCCAUUUCAACAGGACUGAGGAAAGAUUCAGCUACUGGUUCAGCAGUUCUCUCCUCAAGAUCCCCCUCCGCUAUCCUGCCCAUAAGAAAUCAG